UGGUGCUUGCACUGGUGAUUAGUGGCGAACGGGUGAGUAACACGUGAGUAACCUGCCCUUAACUCUGGGAUAAGCCUGGGAAACUGGGUCUAAUACCGGAUAUGACUCCUCAUCGCAUGGUGGGGGGUGGAAAGCUUUUUUGUGGUUUUGGAUGGACUCGCGGCCUAUCAGCUUGUUGGUGAGGUAAUGGCUCACCAAGGCGACGACGGGUAGCCGGCCUGAGAGGGUGACCGGCCACACUGGGACUGAGACACGGCCCAGACUCCUACGGGAGGCAGCAGUGGGGAAUAUUGCACAAUGGGCGAAAGCCUGAUGCAGCGACGCCGCGUGAGGGAUGACGGCCUUCGGGUUGUAAACCUCUUUCAGUAGGGAAGAAGCGAAAGUGACGGUACCUGCAGAAGAAGCGCCGGCUAACUACGUGCCAGCAGCCGCGGUAAUACGUAGGGCGCAAGCGUUAUCCGGAAUUAUUGGGCGUAAAGAGCUCGUAGGCGGUUUGUCGCGUCUGCCGUGAAAGUCCGGGGCUCAACUCCGGAUCUGCGGUGGGUACGGGCAGACUAGAGUGAUGUAGGGGAGACUGGAAUUCCUGGUGUAGCGGUGAAAUGCGCAGAUAUCAGGAGGAACACCGAUGGCGAAGGCAGGUCUCUGGGCAUUAACUGACGCUGAGGAGCGAAAGCAUGGGGAGCGAACAGGAUUAGAUACCCUGGUAGUCCAUGCCGUAAACGUUGGGCACUAGGUGUGGGGGACAUUCCACGUUUUCCGC
rnacentral:rRNA from 1 species